ACCACAGGAGGAGCAAUAGUUAAAAAGGAAAUGUCCCCACAGUGAUGGCCUUCAUCUAUCACCCUUGACUGAUGAUA